rnacentral:rRNA from 1 species
UACGAAGGGGGCUAGCGUUGCUCGGAAUUACUGGGCGUAAAGGGCGCGUAGGCGGACAGUUUAGUCAGAGGUGAAAGCCCAGGGCUCAACCUUGGAACUGCCUUUGAUACUGGCUGUCUUGAGUUCGGGAGAGGUGAGUGGAAUUCCCAGUGUAGAGGUGAAAUUCGUAGAUAUUGGGAAGAACACCGGUGGCGAAGGCGGCUCACUGGCUCGUUUCUGACGCUCAGGCGCGACAGCGUGGGGAUCAAACAGG